rnacentral:lncRNA from 1 species
UGAUUUCAUCAUUACUAUUAAGAAGGUAUGGGUCUUAUACUGAUCUGGCAUUGCAAGGUCUCAGGAUCAGUAUUGGCUUCCCUUGCCUCCAGCUGAGUUAGCUUGUUUGCAAUUGGCAAGUGGCUGGGUGACUAGUGCCUCACCUCUUUCAGCAGCAGGUCUCCACCUCCAAGAAAAAUUUUAGGAUGCUGAUACCUUUGCUACAACCUUCCACUAUUUCUCUGUGUGAGGAAAACUGGUGUUAUCAACCUCAGGACCCAGAGACACAAUGGAGAGGCUGGGCAAAGAAGCGAACAAGACAGUCCCAUGGGAAGUGAAACAGAUACUGCAACCAGCUCCAUCAAGCAGCUCUAAGAAGUCAAGAGAUAAACACGUGGUCAGAAGUCACAGCAGAUUCACCUUUUUCACCAGGUGCAAUUCUGCAGUCAUACACAUAUCUGUAGUAUUUUUCCCUACCUAUCACCAGAUGAAUAGCUUCUGUAAAGAUGAAGAAUCUCCCUUUCAUGGAAAGAAUCACUGUUUUCUAUCACAAGGACACAAGAGGAGCCAAGAAUUUGGAUCAGAAAUUUCUUCUUGCAUCAUCUUUCACUGCAAUAACUAUUGGGGUAACAGGAUUCAGAAAGAAAUGUUUUGCUAGAGUGCUGAUCAAAGUAUUUGCACGUUACUAUCUCUGAGAGAACGCAGACAGGGCUUUUGAAACAGUAUUAAGUGUUGGAAAAGUUGGUUACACUAGCACAAAUAAAAUUUAAUAAUAUUGCA